CAGGAGGGGAAAAACCCUCAGCCUGAAAACCAAACCUCCCAAAUACUUGCUGUGUUUCACGUCCCAGCAGACUUUAAUGCCACCCAGAGUCUCUGCCCUGGAGUCCUGUGGUCUUCUGACAUAGGAUGGCAACUGAGAUACAGCAGCAAAGCCCAAAGAAGGUCCCAUUAGCCUUUUCCCAAUGGAAGUAUGCUGCAAAGACAUCUACAUUUUCACUGUCCACCAGGACUCCAAGGUUUUACUGAGCACACAAGGAAUUUUGUGAAGAGCUGAAAGGAAUGUUUACAGUCAGGCAGAGUUUCGGGGAAGGAAUUAAGAGGAAAAAAGUUGCUCCUGCUGUGGCAAAGAAAAGUCAAGCAAGUCUCCAGGAAAGAAUAAUCAUACAGAAAAUGGAUUUACAGGAAAAAAUCAGGUAUUGAAGAAGAAUUCACAAAUAUUAAACAUACCUGCUGAUCUCUUCCUGGUUACUCACCACCCUUUUCUCCAGUCAAAUAGUUUUCACUGUGUAUCACUGUGUCACCAAGGGAAGGCAACGGGACUCUCCAAAACUCUGCUGGCUAAAACAACAGCCUUCCUCAGGAGCUUUUACUACCGAGUGGAAACAACAGAUGAGGAUGGACUUGUAGCUGAGAAAGUGGAGUCUAUCAAGAAGCAAAGGUCAGUCCCUAGCAAUGCCACUACUUUUCUGAUUAUUUUUUCCCAAGUUCUAGUUCAAGUGCUCAGUUGAGCAGGACAGGAAUUGCAGUAAAUCCUGGGUUUCAGCACAAGA